GAUGAACGCUAGCUACAGGCUUAACACAUGCAAGUCGAGGGGCAGCAUGGUCUUAGCUUGCUAAGGCCGAUGGCGACCGGCGCACGGGUGAGUAACACGUAUCCAACCUGCCGUCUACUCUUGGACAGCCUUCUGAAAGGAAGAUUAAUACAAGAUGGCAUCAUGAGUCCGCAUGUUCACAUGAUUAAAGGUAUUCCGGUAGACGAUGGGGAUGCGUUCCAUUAGAUAGUAGGCGGGGUAACGGCCCACCUAGUCUUCGAUGGAUAGGGGUUCUGAGUGGAAGGUCCCCCACAUUGGAACUGAGACACGGUCCAAACUACUACGGGAGGCAGCAGUGAGGAAUAUUGGUCAAUGGGCGCAGGCCUGAACCAGCCAAGUAGCGUGAAGGAUGACUGCCCUAUGGGUUGUAAACUUCUUUUAUAAAGGAAUAAAGUCGGGUAUGUAUACCCGUUUGCAUGUACUUUAUGAAUAAGGAUCGGCUAACUCCGUG
rnacentral:rRNA from 1 species